rnacentral:rRNA from 1 species
UACAUGGGGUGCAAACGUUGCUCGGAAUCAUUGGGCGUAAAGCGCGCGUAGGCGGUUACUUAAGUUGGAUGUGAAAGCCCUCGGCUUAACCGAGGAAGUGCAUCCAAAACUGAGUAGCUAGAGUACGAAAGAGGGUCGCGGAAUUCCCGGUGUAGAGGUGAAAUUCGUAGAUAUCGGGAGGAACACCGGUGGCGAAGGCGGCGACCUGGGUCGAUACUGACGCUGAGGUGCGAAAGCGUGGGGAGCAAACAGG